AUACGUAGGGAGCAAGCGUUGUCCGGAAUUACUGGGCGUAAAGGGUGCGUAGGUGGCCAAAUAAGUCAGAUGUGAAAGACCGGGGCUUAACCCCGGGGUUGCAUUUGAAACUGUAUGGCUUGAGUACAGGAGAGGGAAGUGGAAUUCCUAGUGUAGCGGUGAAAUGCGUAGAUAUUAGGAGGAACACCAGUGGCGAAGGCGACUUUCUGGACUGUAACUGACACUGAGGCACGAAAGCGUGGGGAGC
rnacentral:rRNA from 1 species